AAGACUAUAGACCUGCGGAGUACCUGCGGAAGGAUCAUUAUUGAAUUAUGUUUCUAAAUGGGUUGUAGCUGGCUCGCCAGAGCAUGUGCACGCCUGUUUGGACUUCAUUUUCAUCCACCUGUGCACCUAUUGUAGUCUUUGGUUGGGUAUCAAGGAAGUGGUCAGCCUAUCAGCACUUGCUGGAUGUGAGGACUUGCAGUGUGAAAGCUUUGCUGUCCUUUACUUGAUCAUGGAGUUGUU
rnacentral:misc_RNA from 1 species